UCCUUUUAUUUUUCUCAAUUUUUUGACCUUCCAUGAUUUUCUCAAAUUGGUUAUAUAUAUUCUCUCCUAUCAAUAAAAGGAUUCUUGACAAAAAUAAAAAACCUCUCUUUCUACUCAUUCUGGUCGACAGAUCAAUCAUGGAUACCAACAGUUAUUCAAUCCUAAUUCAACAUAAAGAACGUUGAGACGCAUCAGAUAAAUACGUUGAUUACGAUAUUAAAGGAGUGAUAUAUAUAUAUGAUGCAAACAUCAAAUAUGAAGGCAUAAUUACUUAUGUCAAGAGGAGGUCAAUACUUGUACAAUAUAAUUUUCCUACAAAAACGUGUCUCUUGAAACCUUUUGAGCGUGCAAGAAUAGCUCCACCCCUGAAUAGAAGGGAGACAAGGUUGUGGGCCAAGAAUCAAUUCAAUGGGAUAAGUUACCUGCACACCAGGCUACUUGGGAAGAUUAUCAACACUAUUGGUUUAUUUUCGAAAUUUUCUUCCUUGAGGACAAGGAAAAUUUUAAUUGA